rnacentral:rRNA from 1 species
UAGUUUACUAUAAUUUCCUGAGACCGGCGCACGGGUGCGUAACACGUAUGCAACUUACCCUUUACUGGGGCAUAGCUCAGAGAAAUCUGAAUUAACUCCCCAUAAUGAUAUUGAAUCGCAUGAUUUGAUAUCUAAAGCUCCGGCGGUAAAGGAUAGGCAUGCGGUGUAUUAGCUAGUUGGUGAGGUAAUGGCUCACCAAGGCUACGAUACAUAGGGGUUCUGAGAGGAUGAUCCCCCACACUGGUACUGAGACACGGACCAGACUCCUACGGGAGGCAGCAGUAGGGAAUAUUGGUCAAUGGACGCAAGUCUGAACCAGCCAUGCCGCGUGCAGGAUGACGGCCCUCUGGGUUGUAAACUGCUUUUAUAUGGGAAGAAACCCCGGGAUGCGUUCCGGGCUGACGGUACCAUACGAAUAAGGAUCGGCUAACUUCGUGCCAGCAGCCGCGGUAAGACGAAGGAUCCAAGCGUUGUCCGGAUUUACUGGGUUUAAAGGGUGCGUAGGCGGAUGCUUAAGCCAGUGGUGAAAUCUCUCAGCUCAACUGAGAAACUGCCAUUGGAACUGGGUAUCUUGAAUUCGAUUGAGGUAGAUGGAAUAUAACAUGUAGCGGUGAAAUGCUUAGAUAUGUUAUGGAACACCGAUUGCGAAGGCAGUCUACUAAGUCGACAUUGACGCUGAGGCACGAAAGCGUGGGUAGCG